rnacentral:rRNA from 1 species
CCUACGGGAGGCAGCAGUGGGGAAUUUUGGACAAUGGGCGCAAGCCUGAUCCAGCUAUUCCGCGUGUGGGAUGAAGGCCCUCGGGUUGUAAACCACUUUUGUAGAGAACGAAAAGACACCUUUUAAUAAAGGGUGUUGCUGACGGUACUCUAAGAAUAAGCACCGGCUAACUACGUGCCAGCAGCCGCGGUAAUACGGAGGAUGCGAGCGUUAUCCGGAUUUAUUGGGUUUAAAGGGUGCGUAGGCGGACGCUUAAGUCAGCGGUAAAAUUGCGGGGCUCAACCUCGUCGAGCCGUUGAAACUGGGUGCCUUGAGUGGGCGAGAAGUACGCGGAAUGCGUGGUGUAGCGGUGAAAUGCAUAGAUAUCACGCAGAACUCCGAUUGCGAAGGCAGCGUACCGGCGCUCAACUGACGCUGAAGCACGAAGGCGUGGGUAUCGAACAGGAUUAGAUACCCCAGUAGUC